GGGGGCGAUUGUUUUCCUCCUGUGCAUAAUAUAGAGUAUUCUCAAAAAUGGCACCCGCUCCUGUGUCUGUCCUGGUUGCUGCUGUUUAUUUAAAUGUGCAAAUCAGGUGCAGUUGCUGAAGGUUGUUUUGCUCCUUCUUUCUAGUUUCCAGUAAGCAUAUUGACAGACAUUUUUAUAAAAGCCAUUUGCUUUGGGUUUUACCUGGAGGAUAUUCUACAUGCUGCUUAUGCCCUUCUCCGUGAAACUCUUCAGGAAAUCAUGAUAUGCACUAAGUUGUGUGAGUCAAGCC